AGAGUUUGAUCCUGGCUCAGGAUGAACGCUAGCGGCAGGCCUAAUACAUGCAAGUCGAACGGAUGUAGCAAUACAUUAGUGGCGCACGGGUGCGUAACGCGUAUGCAACCUACCUUUCAGUGGGGGAUAGCCCGGGGAAACCCGGAUUAAUACCGCAUAAGAUAGUUGACUGGCAUCAGUUAAUUAUGAAACAUUUAUGGCUGAAAGAUGGGCAUGCGUUAGAUUAGCUAGUUGGUGAGGUAGCAGCUCACCAAGGCGAUGAUCUAUAGGGGUUCUGAGAGGAAGAUCCCCCACACUGGUACUGAGACAGGGACCAGACUCCUACGGGAGGCAGCAGUAGGGAAUAUUGGGCAAUGGAGGCAACUCUGACCCAGCCAUGCCGCGUGCAGGAAGAAGGCCUUCUGGGUUGUAAACUGCUUUUGGAAGUGAACAAAAAGACACUGCGGUGUAAAUUGAGUGUAGCUUCAGAAUAAGCACCGGCUAACUCCGUGCCAGCAGCCGCGGUAAUACGGAGGGUGCGAGCGUUAUCCGGAAUGAUUGGGCGUAAAGCGUCCGCAGGUGGCAGUGUAAGUCUGCUGUCAAAGGUCAGGGCUCAACCCUGAACAGGCAGUGGAAACUACACAGCUAGAGUGCGGUGGGGGCAGAGGGAAUUCCCAGUGUAGCGGUGAAAUGCGUAGAGAUUGGGAAGAACACCGGUGGCGAAAGCGCUCUGCUGGACCAUAACUGACACUCAGGGACGAAAGCUAGGGGAGCGAAUGGGAUUAGAUACCCCAGUAGUCC
rnacentral:rRNA from 1 species